rnacentral:lncRNA from 1 species
GCUAAGCAUAUAUUAACCAAAAUAUAUUUGUUACCUAUCUUCCUAAAGAUGAUAGAUCCUAAGUAAUAGAUUAAGAGAAUCUAGAAUAACCAUUCUGUUGAUCAUCUUGUCAUAUGGAUGAGGGAUUCUUUCAUAAACCUUCAAUCAAACAACAUACUAAAAACCAUAAAAUUAACAACAAACUAACAAUAAAAUUAACAGCUAAAAUGGUUAUCAAUCAAUACAAAAGAAAACAUAAACACCCUUAAAGAGCUAAUAAGGCAAACAAUUAUCCAAAAAACCAGCAAACUACUAACCAAAAACCAUUGAACCAGCAACCAAAAUCCAGAAAGAUAACCUGCAUAUCAAUAUUAUAGUAAAAUAUUUAAACAAUAAUUUAUAAAAUUAAAAUGCAUACCUUGUGAAGCCCUUUGAGCAUUCCUUUAUGAAGAUAACCUGCAUAUCAAUAUCAAUUGACAAAAGAAAAUGCAGACAGAACAUAAAUUAAUGUUAAAAACAAAUAUUGGAUGCAUAUAAAUGGUGAAACCCAAUCAAAAUUCAAAAUCCGAAAAUCAAAAUAAAUUUACAGUCCCAAAUGGACCUAGAAAUCAUCCAACAACCCCUUCAUCAAUCACUUAAAUACAAAAUAAAAAAUGAAAUAAAACUGAGCUAGGAGACAUAGAGUAGAGAAAGAGAAGUACCGUCAAAUUCCAACAACAACUCGAGCUUAAAUAUAUCAUCNNNNNNNNNAAGAAAAUUAGGGAUUUCAAAAAUGAACAUACCUUAGAGGGAGGAGCUCAGUUUCAAUAUACAUGGAUUUCUUGGAGUUCAUCAAAUGAAGAAGUGUGUGUCUAUGGUGUUUAGAGAGAGAGAGAGAUAUGAGAGUUUGAAAUUUGAAAGUUGAGAAUCUGUUUUCAAUAUCCAUGGGUUGAGGUUUUGUUUGACUUGGGCUGGUGACAGUCAGAUUUUUGGGAAUGAAAGUGACGGGACACUGUUCCUUUGCUUGCUGUCUGACCAGGUUUUGUCCAUAUCCAAUUUAAGUUUCUUUGUUCAUCAAAAUAGGAUCCAAGUAUAACAAAAGAAGAGGGAAAUUCAAACUUUUGAAUUUUACUUCCAACUCAAGCAACCAAGUUGGACCACUAAGUUAAAAAGGGUAAAAAU